AGCGAACGCUGGCGGCAGGCUUAACACAUGCAAGUCGAGCGGGCCCUUCGGGGUCAGCGGCGGACGGGUGAGUAACGCGUGGGAACGUGCCUUCUGGUCUGGAAUAACCCUGGGAAACUAGGGCUAAUACCGGAUACGCCCUUUUGGGGAAAGGUUUACUGCCGGAAGAUCGGCCCGCGUCUGAUUAGCUAGUUGGUGGGGUAACGGCCUACCAAGGCGACGAUCAGUAGCUGGUCUGAGAGGAUGAUCAGCCACACUGGGACUGAGACACGGCCCAGACUCCUACGGGAGGCAGCAGCGGGGAAUAUUGGACAAUGGGCGCAAGCCUGAUCCAGCCAUGCCGCGUGAGUGAUGAAGGCCUUAGGGUUGUAAAGCUCUUUUAUCCGGGACGAUAAUGACGGUACCGGAGGAAUAAGCCCCGGCUAACUUCGUG
rnacentral:rRNA from 1 species